rnacentral:pre_miRNA from 1 species
CAUAUACUCGCUCCAUCCCAAAAUUAUUGUCUUAGAUUUGUCUACAUACGGAUGUAUCUAUUCACAUUUUAGUGUUAGAUACAUCCGUAUCUAGAUAAAUGUAAGACAAAAAUUUUGGGACGAAGGGAGUAGUUA